ACCCUCUACGAAGUCAAUACGCCACUGCCCUGGCAGCGUUCGGCAGAGUUUGGUCCCUUCAGUCCAUUUCGUGGACAAGUUGGGCCCGCAAUAGCCAUUUCCAAGUUGCCUUUUACCUCUGUAUCAAAACUAGUCUUCGCACGAAAGCAGUCAAAUGAUAAUUAGUUCCGCAACCAAGUUCAUUUUCAUGUAAAUCAAACUCAUUUUCAUAUGUAAGAGUUUGCAUGACGACUCGUUUUGAAACAGAGGCACAAGGUAAAUCGGAUGGACACGGUUCACGUAACAGUAUUCGACCAGUCAUAUGUCGUCUCAGCCGGAGCAAUGGCGGACACAUUUUUCGUUACGAAUGGAGAGUAGGUUGUCUUUUCUCGACCGAUUUCUGCACUCAUCAUGAGAAUCAAACGAUCAUUUUCUAGGAGCUGCUAGUGUAAUAUCUAGACCAAUCAUUUACCAAGCCUCAAGUGCAGUGCGUAUGUCAUCCGUUUGUUUGGCCGAUGUUCAAGAUUUUUGGAUCCUGCUUUGGAUGCUAGUCCAUUAAAGAUUUCAUCUCAUUUUCAAUGAAUUUUCACUAUCAUGAUCACUGCCUGUCUUGAAUUGUAAUCUCUAACAGAAAUUUAUUACUCUUGGAUCGGAUGUUAUUGGUCAGUCAACUAUGGCUGAUUAUUUUGAUCUCCCACUUCUUUAUGCUUGUUUUCCUUGUAAUGUUGUUAGUAGUGGGAGACUAUACAUAAGCUUAAAUCAAUAAAUAAUAGCUGUUUCAUGUG